GUAGCAUAUAUCACUUGGUUUUUAAUAGGGAUCUGGAAUGAAAGGUCUAACAAAUAUUAGUUUCUUAUCUCUAAAGAGUGAAUUUAAGGCUCAAAGUAAAAACGCUUGAGACAUUUGUGGGACGAUAAGACCCUAAAAGCUUUAUUUUUAGUACUAAGGUGUUUUUAAUACUGAGUAUAGAUAAAAAUUUGGUUGGGGUAACAACUCUAAAUGUAUUAGGGCAGGUUUUUAUAGUCUAACUAAAUAAGGGCCCUUAUUAUUAGGGUAUUAGUUGUAGUUACUUUAGGGGUAACAGGGUAAUUAUUUUAUAGAGCUCUUAUCUAUAUAGUAGAUUGCUACCUCGAUGUUGAAUUAAAAUUUCUACGGGAUGAAAAAGGUUCGUUUGAAGGUUUGUUCAACCUUUAAUUUUUU
rnacentral:rRNA from 1 species